ACCUAGAUCGGCAUCGAACUAGUAUUAAAGGAGCGAAUGCUCCGCUACUGGAUGGACUCGCGGUGCAUUAGCUAGUUGGUGACGGUAGAGGCUCACCAAGGCGAUGAUGCAUAGCCGAACCUGAAGAGGGUGAACGGCCACAUUGGGACUGAGACACGGCCCAGACUCCUACGGGAGGCAGCAGUAGGGAAUUUUCGUCAAUGGGGGAAACCCUGAACGAGCAAUGCCGCGUGAGUGAAGAAGGAUUUCGGUCU
rnacentral:rRNA from 1 species